rnacentral:rRNA from 1 species
GACGAACGCUGGCGGCGUGCCUAAUACAUGCAAGUAGAACGCUGAAGGAGGAGCUUACUUCUCUGGAUGAGUUGCGAACGGGUGAGUAACGCGUAGGUAACCUGCCUGGUAGCGGGGGAUAACUAUUGGAAACGAUAGCUAAUACCGCAUAAGAGUAGAUGUUGCAUGACAUUUACUUAAAAGGUGCAAUUGCACCACUACCAGAUGGACCUGCGUUGUAUUAGCUAGUUGGUGGGGUAACGGCUUACCAAGGCGACGAUACAUAGCCGACCUGAGAGGGUGAUCGGCCACACUGGGACUGAGACACGGCCCAGACUCCUACGGGAGGCAGCAGUAGGGAAUCUUCGGCAAUGGACGGAAGUCUGACCGAGCAACGCCGCGUGAGUGAAGAAGGUUUUCGGAUCGUAAAGCUCUGUUGUAAGAGAAGAACGAGUGUGAGAGUGGAAAGUUCACACUGUGACGGUAUCUUACCAGAAAGGGACGGCUAACUACGUGCCAGCCGCCGCCGUAA